ACACUUUAUUCACUGGAGUGUGCAGGUCUGAGGGCACUGGGCUCACUGGAGGCUGCAUUGAGGAGGGCACUGGGCUCACUGGAGGCUCCAGUGCCGCGUGCACGGGGCUCACAGGAGGCUGCAGUGGGCAGGCAUUGGGCUCACUGAUGGCGGCCGUUCUGCAUGAACUGGGAUCACUGGAUGUUGCAGUGCCGAGGGCUCUGGGUACACUGGAGGCUCCAGUGCCACAGACACUGGGCUCACUGGAGGCUCCAGUUUCGCAGGCACAAGGCCCACAAGAGGCUGCAGUAAUGCGGGCACUGUGGUCACUUGAGGCUGCAGUGCCGUGGAAACUGGCCUCAAUGGAGGCUGCAUUACCGCAGGCACUGGGCAAACUGGUUACUCCAGUCGCUUGUACUUGGCUCACUGGAGGGUCCAGUGCCACGGGCAAUGGGCUUACUGGAGUCUGCAGUGCCGCGGGCACUGGGUUCCCUGGAGGCUGCAGUGCCGCGGUCACUGGGCUCUCAUGAGGCUGCAGUGCUGCAGGCACUGGGCUCACUGGCGGCUACAGUGAUGUGAGCACUGGACCGACAGGAGGCUGCAGUGGCGGAGGCACUGGGUUCACUGGAGUCUCCAGUGCUGCACGCACUGGGCUCAUCAGAGGAUGCAGUGCCAUGGGCAGUGGCCUCACUGGAAUCUGCAGUCCUGCGGGCACUGGGCUCCCUGGCAGCUGCAAUGCUGAGGGCACUGGUUUCACUGGAGGGUGCAGUGCCGCGGUCACUGAGUUCACUGGGGGCUCCAGUGUCGCUGGUACUAGGUUCACUGGAUGCUGCAGUGCCUGGGUCACUGGGUUCACAGUAGGCUCCUGUGCUGUGGGCACUCGGUUCACUGGAGGCUGAAGUUCCACGGGCACUGGGUUCACUGCAGGAUGCAGUGCCGGGAUCACUGGGUUCACUGAGGCUGCAGUGCCACGGGCACUGGGUUCACCGGAGGAUGCUGUUCUGCGGGCACUGGGUUCACCGGAGACUCCAGUGCUUUGGGCAUGUGUUCAUGGGAGGCUGCAGUGCCGCGGGUACUGGGUUCACUGGAGGCUGCAGUGUUGCGGGCACUGUGUUCACUGGAAGCUGCAGUGCCUCGGGCACUGAGUUCACUGGAGGCUGCAGUGCCGCUGGCAGUUCACUGGAGCUGGAGUCCAGUGGGCAUUUGAGCACUGGUCGUUCCAGUGCCAUGGUCCCUGAGUGCCCGAACACUCGGGCACUGGAGCCUAGGGCGUGCUGCUUGGGAUUUUGUGUCUCCAUGUCUCACUGUCUUUCCCCGGGAGGCUCUCUGGUUUGAGCACAGACCUGGAGGCUGCAUGGGAUUCUGUGUCUCCCUCUUCCUCUGUCCUUUCCAGGAGUUUCUGUGCUGAGACCAAAGAGCCUGGAGGGUGCUUGGAAUUCUGUGUCUCCUCUCUCUGUCCUUCUCCUCCAGUUCCUUCACGCACUGGGAAAUAGGACUUCAGUCACUGGGAGUGACGACUGCAGUCACUAGAAGUAACUGCAGACAUUGAGUGUGUCUUUGACUUCAGUCACUGGGAGUGACUAUGACAUCAGUCACUGGGAGUGACUUCGGGAGUCUUCCAUCAGUGGGAUGACUUCGAGAGGGUCUUCCAUCACUGUGUGUGACUUCACGAGGGACUUCCGUCACUGGGAGUGAUUUCAGUCAUUGGGGGUGACUGACUUCAGUCACUGGGCAUGCCCUCAGGCCUUGGGCAUGCCUGUGCCCUUCAGGCAGUCUUCUAGCCUUCAGGCACAGGGUGAGAAUUCAGGCAUGGGGCAAGCCCACAGGCAUGGGGGGUGCCUUCAGGCAAGGGGCGUUCCUUCAGGCACUGGGCGGGGCUUCAUGCAUGGGGCAAGGCUUCAGGCACUGGGCUUUCCUUCAGGCACGGGCCUUGCCUGCAGGCAAGGGGCUUGAGUACAGGCACCUGGAGCUGUUUCAGGCAAGAGGCAUGCCUUCAGGAACAGGGAGCGGCUUCAGGCACGGGGCGCACCUUCAACCAUGGAGCUUGUCUUCAGGCCCUGGGAGCACCUUCAGGCCGCUGCUAUGAUGCUCAACAGGGAACCUGAAGCACACUGGGAUUCAGGAGCAGACCAACUACCACUUGGCUCCCACAAAUGGUCGCCUUGGAACUCUUUAUGGAAGAGGAGAAAACACCCACCACCACCGUUUCAUAACCCUGCACCGAAUGUGGAAACAACAAUCACCCACCCCCAAAGGAAACUCUAGCAGGGUACAUGUAUCAAACCUAAGGUGUUGGUUAUGUAUUUUGGAUCAAUAAGUGAGGUUGUACUUUUGACUGGUAAGUGUACAUCUAAAUCCCUCAGAGGGGAUAUUCUCUGAGGUCACCCCAACCUAAAUUGUUGGCCCAUGGGGAGAUGUGUUGUCCCUGCUGAUUGUAUUGAUGUUGUCUCUGUAGGCCAGUGAAUUAAAGCUCCAUAGGGUCUUGUCCUGUUCUUGCCUCUUCACGGGAAGGUCCAUUUCACCUAUUGAAAAAGACAGCAAGGGAGUAGUGUUGGCACUAUUAAAUCUGACGUUUCAUGAAUGAGUCUUUUCACUUUCAUGGCUGAAGAAGCAGCAUCUCUUAUGAUGAGGGUUAGGGUUUGGAUUAUCCUGAGGAUUAGGGUAAGGGUUAAGUCAUGCUUGCACCCCCGUUUUGACAAGGGAGGAAGGUCACACCUGACCCCCGCCACCCUCCUUGUGGAAGGGUGUUCAGGCAUGCAGCCUGCCUCCCCUCCACAAGGGAGUAGUGAUGCCACUACUUAAUGUGUUGUUUCAUGAAUGGCUCUUUUCCCUUUCACAGCUGAAGAAGCAGGCAUUUCUUAAGGUAAGUGUUAUGGUUAGGAUUGCCGUUCAUGGUUAGGGUAAGGGAUAGGCCAUGCCUGCACCCUCCCUUGGAGUGGGAGGGCGUUCACACAUGAGCCACGCACCCCCUCAUCUCGGGAGGGUGUUCACCAAUAGGAACCAGUCCCCUUCAGCGGGGGGAUGUUGAUGUAUGCGCCUGCACCCAUCUCGUGUGCGAGGGUGUUCAUGCAUGGACACCACAACCCUUGGCGAGGGAGGGCAUUUGUCCAUGCACCAUGCCCUCCUUGCCUCAGGAGGUGUUCACGCAUGAGCACAGUGCCCCCUUGGCUUGAGAAGGUGUUCAGGUAGGUGCAUGAACCUGCCCCCCAGCGUGGGAGGGGGUUCACGCAUGUGCCCUCCCCCCUCAGGCGCUGGAGGGGUCACAUGUGCACAGCACCACUAGUCAGCAAGGGAGUAGUGGUGCCACUAUUAAAUCUGACGUUUCAUGGACGGCUGUUUUCACUUUCACAGCUGAAGAAGCAUGCAUCUCUUAAGGUCAGGGGUAGGGUUAGCAUUACAUUUAGGGGUUAAGAUAAGAGCUAGGUCAUGCUUGCUCUCCCCCCUCAGCACGGGAAGACUUCACGCAUCACCCCACUAUCCUGAGCAAGGGAGAGUGUUCACCUUUUCACCCCAAUCCCUGAGAGUGGUAAAAUAUUGAAGCACGUGCUCCACUCCACUUCCUUUGGGGAGGGCUUUCACACAUGCGUAGAUCCCCCCUUCAGGACAGAUUGUUCACAUAUGUGCAUGACCACCUGUCGGGUCGGGAGGGUGUUCACUCAUGGGCACACCCCACCUCUGCAUGGGAGAUGGUUCAUGCAUGUGUCUUGCUCACCUCUGCAGGGAGGGUUUUUACGCAUGUGCACAGCCCCACCUUGGUGUGGGAGGAGGUCACCCAUGCAGAGCGCCACCCUUCAAUGAGGAUAUAGUGAUGCCAUUAUUAAAUGUGAUGUUUCAUGAAUGGUUCUUUUCAAUUUCACAGCUGAAGUAGCAGACAACUCUUAAGCUGAAGAAGCAUGCAUCACUUAAGCUGAAGAAACGCGGCCAGGGAGGGCGUUGACGUAUGCUCCCCGCUCCCCUCGCCAGGAUGCUGUUCACGCAUGUGCAAAGUCCCCCCUCCUUGCCAAAGGGGGUUCAAGCAUGCCCACAACCCCCGCUCUGUGAGGCAGACCAUUUGUACAGGCACACAACCCUCCCUCAGCAAGGGACAGUGUUCAUGCUUGGCCCCACUCACUUCGGUGGGAAGGGUGUUCACACAUGCACAUAACCCCCCUCAGCAUUGGAGGGCGUUCAAAAAUGUGCCCCACCCCACUUGACGCCAGAGGUGGUUCAGGAUUCUGCCUUGCCCCUGGUUGGUGUGUGAGAUGGUCACCCAUGCACAGUGCCACCUUUUAGGGAGAGAGUAGUGGUGUCACUAUUAAAUGUGAUAUUUCACGAAUGGUUCUUUCACUUUCACAGCUGAAGAAACACACAUCUCUUAAGGCUUGCAUCUUCCCUCUACCUCUAUACUCCAAGUUCCUGGCUGGCACUGGAAUUACAUCUUUAGCACGGACAUCAUAACCUCCAGGUGAGGUCUCGUGGAUUGCGGGGUCCCACGACAUCACCUCAUCGAUGCAGUCGAUGGUUUGUUCCAGAUUCAGGCUUGUUUCCGGGAAGAAACCCUGACAGAAAUUCAGAAGAACGGGAGCUGCAUUCCGUUAGGACAUGAAUACAUGAAAUGCUCGUCUUGGGAACUCCUAGAAGAAUGAGCUGGGACCCACUUUCCGAGUCCUGCUAGAACCAGUGACCGAGAAAAUAAAAAUGCCCUGGAAGACAAGUGUAAUGCAUUUGAGGCCUGUGAAAGCCACAAAAGAAGCAAAAGUCAAACAGCUGAAGGAGAAAGCACAUAACCUGGAAGAAUUCUAUGAACAAAGAAAAGUGCCUACAAAAAAGAAGCUGAAAAUGACACUGUGAACUGGCGGCAAAGAAGAACCAGCUGGCAGCUGCAGGCAACAAAUUGAACAAACACGGGAACAGUAACCUGAGUUCUGCCUGACAUACUGAACCCUUAGCACCUCACGCAGGUGAGUGUAGUGGCCCUUGGAAUCCCUAACCACGGGCUUUUCAUUGUUGGCUUUUUCAGCUCGCAGUUCAUGAGAAGAAUGCUCAGGACAACUAGGUAAGUGUUUUCUUGUUUCCUCCUCUUUCUUUGGUGCACAGUGUGGCACCACCUUCCGACUGAAGGUGGAUGUGUUUUUUCUCCCCCAGAUCAAGACUCAGAUCUGGGACAGGGAGAUGACAGAGCAGGGCAGGGAGGUCGCUUACUUGAAAUACAGGUGUGGUCAUUUGACUUGCGUUUUGAUGGGUGUUUCCAGGGAUGACGCCUGCACUGUUUGUUGUCUAGUAGACGACGUGGUGUUGCAACUCUUAUAGAAGUCCAUUAUUUUUCUGUAUGCAAGCCUGGACGAGAUGGAAGCAAAGAGGCUGCCUGAGGGAUACACGAGGCAGAAACCAAUCACUGCAAGAACCCUCCAAAGAGAGGGCAGUCUGGAUCCUGGGGACCUCCUCCGUUAACUGGACGAUUCUGCAUGCCCUACCCUGGAGACGCCCCGCCCCCAUGGACUAUUAGGCACAUACACCUCCUGAACCUUGGCAGCCCUGGGGCCACCCGAAACCCCUCCACCUGCAACACUUGGUAAGACGAUCUGAGCACUAGGAGUUGACUUGUAAAACACACUCACCUUAUUUUGUUGCUGUUAGGUCUUGGGCCAAGGUGCAGUGGCGGUACCAGAGACCAUUGUGAUGCAAGGGGAAUGUGUCUGCUGCCAUUACCACAAUCCUCAAGUUUCUCAGGAUUUCAUCUUUGUCAUUUCCCCCAUCAUGGGUGGGUACAGGAGUCUCUUGUGGAGAAGGAAUGGGGCCGUAUGCAGAAAAACAGACAUAGCGCUUCAGCAGAAAUUCCCUGUACACAGUCCACGUGCUGGGAUCUGUAAGGCAUGAGGCACAAUGUAACGUAUGUCCAUCUAGUUGUGCCCCCAGCCAUCCAUAGUUGUUCGAUGAGUGAUGAAUACAUCUGAAUCAGGGCUUUUAGGGGGUCUUCAUCAAGUUAUAAGGGAUGGUUCUUCAAGUUCUUCUUGGGGAUCACUGGAGUCAUGUGGGAUACCCUGUGCGUGUGAUUUGGGAUCUGACUGGGGCAAAAAGUUUAAGUUUGAAGUAUCAGGGGAGGGUCUUUUGUUGUUUUUGAUCUCCAAUCUACUCAAAUCAGAAUAAACCUCCAUCCCUUCUAGGGCUUUUUGCAGGUCCAGAAGUAGGUGUCACAACCAAGAGUGACACCGACACUGGCUCUGCCAAAACUGCAGAGAAGCACAAAGUAAAUGCUGUGGCCAUUUUCAGUUCUAAGUCUUUAUGGACCGCCACAUCUUUCUGUACGGGACACUCUCCUGCCAUUGUCUCUGGUUUGUGUGUCGUAAGGCUAUUUUGUAUGCAAGAGUCCUGGUCCUUUCCCAGGAUCGCCUUGCAGGCUGUACCCCAGGGACCACCCUUCACCACCAGUCAUGGGCUAUAGGCCACAUCCCCCUCCUCCACCUACUCUAUUUGUUAAGAUGACCUGAACUGGAUGAGUGGCUGGUAAAGUAUAUUCAUCUUCUUCA